rnacentral:snRNA from 1 species
AUACUUACCUGGCAGGGGAGAUACCAUGAUCACGAAGGUGGUUUUCCCAGGGCGAGGCUCAUCCAUUUGCACCUCCCGGAUGUGCUGACCCCUGCGAUUUCCCCAAAUGUGGGAAACUCGACUGCAUAAUUUGUGGUAGUGGGGGACUGCGUUCGCGCUUUCCCCUG